rnacentral:lncRNA from 1 species
AUGUUAUUCUCCCCCUCCCCCUCCUGCACACGACCAUGUGUCUCCUGGCUGGGCCUUUGGGGACGCGGCCCCUGGCUUUCCCUGGCCUGUGUUCCUGUUGUUCGCUUCUGUCCCAGCGGACCACUGUGUCUGGGGCGCCGCGCCCUUCGGUGCGCUCAGACCUCGCGCCCUCCGACCGGCUUCUCCCAGUCCCCGGGAGGAGGCGCUGUGCCCGGGCUGGCCUCUGGUCCCUCCCAGCCGGUGUCCUGGAGCCCCCAUUCACAAAACCCCUCCUGGAAGAGGACACACACACACACACCCCACACACGCACCCCACACACGCACUACGAGAAGGGGAGUUUGAUCUUGUCUCAUUGGCGUCUCGGGUCUGAAAGGAAAAUCGUUUGGGUAAACAGCCAAGCUUCCAGGCUUAACGCCCGGCUCCCGCCCCCGCCCCUCCAUCCCCUCCUGCCUCCCCCACUCGCCUUCAACCCCACCCGCCACCCACACUCGGCUCCGCAGCCGGGCCCCGAGCGAGCUCCGCGAGUCCUGGCGAGAGCCGAGGGCUCCCCGGGUUCAAAGGGCCGCAGCCCCGAGGCAACGCCCUCCUUGCUGUGCCCCGGGGGGCAGAAGCGGACUGCUGGGCGGUGGGACCGGCCUGGGCCACGGUUUCUUCUUGGUGUGAAUAGAAAUAGUUGGAUGACUUUUUUCAAGCACCAACAGCUCUUUAGUAGCAGGGUGGCAAUUACUGUUUCCUCAAGCCUGGAGUGCAUGGUUAUGGGACAGCCACUUCCUCCUUCAGAUCACAUCCAUUAAUCUGUGUGGGCAAAGUCCAUCACUAUCAUCUAUUGAUCAUAUUUGGCUUGGGUGGAACAGAUUUUCAACUGUCACAAGUAAAAUACUCCCUACAGACCAG